CAAGGAAUUUUCGGCAAUGGGCGCAAGCCUGACCGAGCAACGCCGCGUGGAGGAUGACGGCUUUCGGGUUGUAAACUCCUUUUGGGGGGGACGACAUUGACGGUACCCCCCGAAUAAGCCCCGGCUAACUCUGUGCCAGCAGCCGCGGUAAGACAGAGGGGGCAAGCGUUGUCCGGAAUCACUGGGCGUAAAGCGCACGCAGGCGGCACGGUAAGUGGGGUGUGAAAGCGGGCGGCUUAACCGCCCGAGGCCAUCUCAGACUGCCGCGCUCGAGCCCGGGAGAGGUCCCUCGAAUUGCCGGUGUAGUGGUGAAAUGCGUAGAGAUCGGCAGGAAGACCAAGGGGGAAGCCAGGGGACUGGCCCGGUGCUGACGCUCAGGUGCGAUAGCGUGGGGAGCGAACCGG
rnacentral:rRNA from 1 species